UGUGUACUUCCUCCGUUCCAAAUUACUCGUCGCAGAAUAGAUGUAUCUAGAACUAAAAUACAUCUAGAUACAUCUAUACCCACGAUAAGUAAUUCGGAACGGAGGGAGUAGCAU
rfam:Triticum urartu cultivar G1812 contig914958, whole genome shotgun sequence.